rnacentral:rRNA from 1 species
GAGACAGCAGCCGCCGCGGGAAAACAGAGGGUGCAAGCGUUAAUCGGAAUUACUGGGCGUAAAGCGCGCGUAGGUGGUUUGUUAAGUUGGAUGUGAAAGCCCCGGGCUCAACCUGGGAACUGCAUCCAAAACUGGCAAGCUAGAGUACGGUAGAGGGUGGUGGAAUUUCCUGUGUAGCGGUGAAAUGCGUAGAUAUAGGAAGGAACACCAGUGGCGAAGGCGACCACCUGGACUGAUACUGACACUGAGGUGCGAAAGCGUGGGGAGCAAACAGGAUUAGAGACCCGCGUAGUCCCUGUCUCUUAUAC